rnacentral:lncRNA from 1 species
ACAUUUGGAGGUUCCUAGGCUAGGAAUCAGAGCUGUACCUGCCAGCCUCUGCCACAGUCACAGCCACAGCAACUUGGGAUUCAAGCCGCAUCUGUGACCUGCACCACAGCUCACGGCAAUGCUGGAUCCUUAACCCACUGAACAAGGCCAGAGAUCCAACCUGCGUCCUUAUGGAUGCUAGUCAGAUUCGUCUCCGCUAAGCCACGACGGGAACUCCUGAUUUUGUAAUGCCACAUUCCAGUUAGUAGAAAGCACAGAUGUUAUCUGUUUCCAAGGAAGUUUUCUGUAGUAUUCCAGGAAAUAGAGGCUUUGACUCUUUCUGUCAUCAGAUGCUUUGAGUCCUCCAUCCUGACCGAACACCUUUAGAUUGUACUGCCUAGAAGGAAUAAUCACAGGGGGAAGAAAAAAUGGGUUAAUGGUGGAAACUUUAUUCUCAUCUGCAUUUGAAUCUUUGGAAUCCAACUGAAUGUAUUUAUAUGGUUCGCACCAUGUGUUUAUCCAUUUUCUUUUCACAAGUUCCCUGAAAUAGAACACUCUGGACUUGGAUGGCACCUUUAUUCACGUGAAGGAUUUUUCCAUCUGGAGGGAACUAUGAUGGAGGUGAAGGGUGAGUGGAGGAUUCUGAUGGUAUCAGCCCACCAGUCACAAGGAGGCCUCUAUACCAAUUGGGAUAGUUACUUCAUGAGUCCUUGUAUUUUUUCAUCAUAGAUAUGACCAGAGGACCUGUAGCUCAUGUAUUUUGAAGAAAAAAGGGGCUAAAUUUGUCCUCUAUUCACUUUUCCAUUUUUUCUCAUGUUAAUAUCAAAAAAAAACAGUAACAACAAUAGCAAACACCCCUUUAGGUCCCUGCUGUAGCCCAAAGCCUUGGCAACAGUACCUAGUCCACUGGAGUCACUAAAUAGCAAGACAGAAAAUUUUAAAUGCACUUCAAAUAAAAUGUCACCAGGUUCAAGACCAUCCCAGGUGAAUUAGAACUGACCUUCCUGCGUAUGAUGAUAGAGUUGCCUCUAACUCUGCCUUUCUCCUGAUGGGAUUAGAUGGUCAAGACAAAUUGCACAACUUGCUUUUUAGGAUGUCCUAAAAAUUCUAGAAGGAUUUUUCCUUUGAGGGAAGCAUGUUAUCCAAAUUCAGGGGGUUGGAGUUACACAUCCUUCCUUUGAGUGAGGUUGGGUGAUAAGCCCCAGAUCACGUUCACUCACUGGCUCGGGUGAGGUGUGCUGUCCUUUCUAUGCCUUGUGAAACAGACGCUAUAUCGUGUAGAACCUCAAGUAGCAUAACAUUCACCCAGUGCGUAUCUGCUGACCCUGUGACUGCAGAAGAACCUUCUCGUGCCUGCACACACUCUUAGUCUUUUCCGUGUUAGACAUCCCAUUAAUGUGGAGCGUUCUCUUUAGUCUGUGAACUGCUAAAUAGGUGUGACAUAUAGCACAUGUCCCCUUAGUAAGCAAAUCCUGGGAAGUCCUUUAUUUGGCUGUUGUAUUUGAGGGAAAGCCUCUUGAGAAGGACUAGUUUUGCACUCAGUAAACAUGGAAGGCCUGAAGGCAAGUCUUGAAAAGUGAUAAGGAGGUGAUAAGGAUGACUCAUUUGGGAAGGUUUAUCCUUGUCCUUGGAUUCUGGUGCUCUCCUAGGGGGGCCCAUCUAAGCUGACCUGUGGUGGGCUCAUCCCUAAACUGCAAACAACAGUUUUAUCCCUUUGAAUCUGAUGCUCAGAACUAGAAGAGAGCUUGGAGCUCAUCUGAUGGCUCCAGUUGUUUAAUUAGACAGAUUGGGGAGUGAGCCUCAAAGAGGUGAUGUGUUUAAGAUCAGGGAACUCACUCACCAACCCUCUUAUUGCUCCUCUCACAGACUCAGGUUCCCUGGAGAUAAUUACUGUGGCAGCACCACGCGCACUGAAGGUCUUGACUGAGCUGGGGGCGGCUCCCCCCUCCACUGGGAGGAGCUGGCUUGAGCCAUUAUUUUGCUCUUUCUCAGAGCCAGUGCAAUAUGUACCCAGUGGAUGUGAUUCAGUUUGUACAAAGUCCUCAUCUGCAGCCAUCUCUGUUAAUGUGCAUGUUUUGUGAAGAAUCUCUCAUGCACAGUCUUAGUUUUCUCUUUUCACUGUCAUAAUUGAUUGAGUCAAGUCAACAGAGAUUGUAUGUGUUUACAGUUCAAGGAAUCCACAGGGAAACCUUUAUUUUUGUCUUCAAUGAAAGGUCCUUUAAAAAAAAAAGCAACCGUUCUAAAAAUUUUUUUUCCAUUUCUGGCUAAGAACAUUAUAACUUUAUAUUUCUUUCUUUUUUUUUUUUUGGUCUUUUUAGGCCACACCUGUGGCACAUGGAGGUUCCCAGGCUAGGGGUCAAAUUGGAGCUACAGCUGCUGCCUACACCACAGCCACAGCAAUGUGGGAUCCAAGCCCUGUCUUCGACCUACACCACAGCUCAUGGCAACACCGGAUCCUUAACCCACUGAGCGAGGCCAGGGAUAGAACUCGCAACCUCAUGGUUCCUACUUGGGUUUGUUAACCACUGAGCCAAGACCGGAACUCCAAACUUUAUAUUUCUUAUGACUUAGAAAACUAGAACUGUUUCUCCUUGGAAACAUCAGGAGAAAAAUACAGAAUUUGACAUUCAUUCUCAAAACCUUCUUUCUCCAGGAUUUCCUAAACGUCUCCAGGGCACUUCAUUUCACUUGCAGGGAGACCAGAAUGAAAUCAGGCAGGCAGGUGCCCAAGGCCAGAACAAACCCCUAGAACUGGGGAGAGAAAGAGGAAGGGCUGAGUGUCGGCAUUAGAGUGAACGGCCACUAGAGGGCAACAGAGCACGGGUGAAGCCCACCCGCAGCAGCGGAGCCCGACCUCCAGGCUCAGAGGUGGGGUUGGAGAUGGACGCCAGGUAGACAUGCUGGGGCUGGCGGCUUAGUUGCCAGGCACCUCUGUCUCUUGGGUCCAAAUUGCCUCGCUUUCAGAGAGGGGAAGAGAGGUCUGUCCUGAGUACUCAAUAGGGCACUUCCAGCCUGGUGGUACUAAUGACGUCAUUCUCCAAAAUAGACUUACUCAGAUGCUUCAGCCUUUAUCAGCCUUCAGUAAACGUUAAAGUGCCAGCCAAACACGUGACCCUUCGAGGUGGUGAUGGUGGUCUUUGGUGGAACCAGCAAUAGUCGUUUUGAAAUAAGGUGGUUGGUACAAGGGGGUUAGGUGUGUUGUGCCUUUCUCUAGUGAUACUAAAAAUGGAUGGGGGUGUGUGUGUGUGCCCGCGCAGCAUCGGCACAUGAACGAACUUGACAAAGAUGCCAAUUCAUGGGUCCCACUCCAAACCUGUAGCAUCACAAUUUCUUUCAUGGGUCCUGGAAUGCUUUGUAUGCAUACGGAAGUUUGAGAAGCAAGGUCACCCCAGGCUUACAAUGAAGAUAACAUGGGAGUUUUAAGAACUACUAUCGCCUGUGACCUUCCUCACAGGUUCUAUUGGCCUGGGUGAGACUGCAUUUUUAAAGAAUGAAGUAGAGUUGACAUGCAGUAUUGUAUUUGAUUCAGGUGUAGACAUAGUUGAGGUGAACAACGAGUACCAAUGCUUUUUUUUUUUUUGUCUUUUUAGGGUCGUACCCACUGCAUAUGGAGGUUCCCAGGCCAGGGGUCCAAUCAGAGCUGUAGUUGCCAGCCUAUGCCAGAGCCACAGCCAAUGCCAGAUCUGAGCCGAGUCUGCAACCUACACCACAGUUCACAGCCAUGCGGUAUCCUUAACCCACUGAGCAAGGCCGGGGAUUGAACCCACACCCUCAUGGUUCCUAGUCGGAUUUGAUUCUGCUGCGCCACGAUGGGAACUCCCCAAUACAUUUUUUUUUAAUGGCCACGCCUGCAGCCACGUGAGGUUUGAGCAAGACUGUUAUUCGGAAACAUUUAUUCAUUCAUGACUGUUCACUGAGGAUUCAUUCAGGACUGUUUAAUGACAGGCACAUUAGGAUGUGCUGUGUUCCCCACACCGUACUAAGCUCCUCACAUUAUGGAGUUAAUUGUCCCAACAUGUGGGGAACCGGGUAUGCUGUGUUCAUCUUUCCCAGGAGGAUUUGGAGGUUGGGCUUGCCUUCUUGAGAGCAGAGCGUCUUUGUCUCUUUCAUUAUCGCCGAUGAUUAAGACAAUGUUGGAUGUGAUGGCACCGGAAAAGAUGACGAGCAGGAGACAGGAAGGUGGAUUAGAGGUUGAGGGAACUUUGAUGGGAAGGAAGGUGGAUUAGAGGUUGAGGGAACUUUGAUGGGUCGUUCAUUUGUAUUCAUGCAUUUUGUUUGACUUUUAAUGGUGGACGCCCCCCCAGGAAUGGAAGAUGGGGUGCUGUGUGUGGCUUUGGAAGCACUGUUUUAACCAGAAAGAUAAAAUCUAUUCACCAGAUUUCAAGUCCUUUGAUCUCCUUUAUCUGAGUAUGAGCACCAAAAAUUGUCAAUGCUGGAUCCACUCACCAAGGAGGCAGAAUUUCCAGAAACUCUUGAGCUGCUCUGAAAAGGAUGACCACGGAAUGGGGGCAGAGACAUGGCAGGACUUUUGUUUGUUUGUUUUGGUUAAGAGGUCAUUUUAAAUGGAGUCUGAACUCAUGUUCCCUGUUAGGCUCUGUAAGUCUAAUUUUGGAAGCGAUAUUCUGGGUGGAAAUUCUGGAGCAGCAGAGCUGUGCCCGCGAUGUUAAGCCCGAAGUGUGAGGCAGGGACCCGCGGCGUCAGAGGGGCUGCUCCAGAGGCAGGACUGCUGGGUGCCCCCCGCGUGCGUUUGUAUCACUCAGGGUGAUUCUGGGGGGGGCAGUCCUGCUCCCAGUCUGCUCUCGGGUCCUGCACAUUGUUAGAGGUACGGGACUCAGGUCCUUGUGAGUUCACCUGCCCUCCCCGUGUGCGCCUGUGUGAAGUUUUGGACUAAAGAAAAGGCAAGAGAGGAAGAGGGUGUCAAAAACCCUAGGGGUAACGUCACGGGUCCGAGGGAGAACGGGUCUGUGCUAUGGACUGUGGCACCAGGCUGCCCGCCCUGCACAUUCAGGUGUGUGGGCUUCAUGAAGGUGGAAUUCAGGAUGCUGACCGUCGGCCCUAGGCGGGUGGAGGCAGGAGCACGCGACGGGAUGUCUGGGCCCUGGGAGGGGCUGGUUUGUGCCACGAGUCCUCUGGACACUGUCCAGCAUUGUUGGGGUGGGGGGGACGGUGAGCGUGAAGGCAGUGUGGGGUGGCUCAGGGUGAAGUCUGGUCGGGUGAGGGCAGGGCUGGGCUGGGUGGCGUCAGCGUGCGGGGGUGGGCGCAGGGCGGAGUGGGGAGAAUGACUCGGGCUACGCCGCCCCUGAGCGAGGGGUUUAGGGACUAGAUGAGGAAAGGGUUCAAAAUGAAAUGCAGAUUAAGUUAGGCGCGUUCCAAUUUUCAGGCGUUGAUUUGAGCACACCUCUAUUCGGUUCCCGCAGCCUCAAUGCCAAGGUCCUUGGGAACACUGUCUGCCCAUCCAGGGGACAGGGUUUUCUAGAGAAGUCACCCAAUCAAAUCAAGGCUAUUUGUCUCUUAACCAGUCACUUUGGUUUUGGAAAGCCUCCUUGGCUGUGUGUGGUUGGUUGGUCUUAAUUUAUUUUCUGACUAAAUUACCUUGACUCUGGGAGUUCUCUUGGGGCACAGCGGGUUAGUGAUCUGGCGUUGUCACUGCAGCGGCCCAGGUCACUGCCGUGGCUCAGGUUUGAUCCCUGGCCUAGGAGCUUCCACCUGCUGCAGGUGCAGCCAAAAAAAUUAAGUGCCUUGACUUUGGAUUAAGUUUCGUUUGCUCAAAUAGGCUAUCCCAGCUUUAGCAUCACCUCAAUCUAAGGGCCUCCUUGGUUAAUUACUUUCGCACUAGCAGUGCAGUUUGAAAAACAGUACUUUUCAUCCAUUUACAAGGUAGUUUAGUAACUGCCCACCUAAUGGCAUGUUAGUGCAGCAAUUGCAUGUUCCAGAACCACCCAGAUAAGCCACAUGUGUAGAAAUCGAAGACCCACAUUCUGUGAUAGCAGGAGAAAAACACAUGCAGCUAUGUAAAUGCAUAACUAGGGAGUGUUUCGGUAAAGUCAUUUCAUUCAUAAUCACCACGGAAUAUGAUGAUGUGUGUUUGGGAUGCAGGAGAUCCAUGUCUACUGGUGUGAAAAAGCCACUUUGUAUAUUGUUGGUUAAGGAAACACUUGACAGAAGUUUGAUUUGACAGUAUGUACAUAAAUAUUGAACUGUGUACAUAAUAUCUUGGUGUUUGUGUGGAUGUGUAUUAUAUAAAUUCAAAGGUAGUUUAAGUUACGUGUGGAAAUGGCACGGCAAGGAGGAUAUAUGGGGAACUGAUGAUGUUAACAUCUGGAGAUAAAACUAUAGCUUCUGGGAAUGGUUAAUUAAUGGGCAUUUUUACUUCCUUUUAUUUAAAUAUUUCAUAAUUUGUUCCUCUGCAUAGUAACGUGCCAUAACGUAUGACCACACACUGAGCAUUUUAAAAAACAGUUCAUAGGUCAGAAAUCCCAGUGGUCUUGGCUGGGCUUCCUCUUGAGGGUCCUACAAGGUCAAAAAUCAGGUCUCAUGCGGCACAGGUUCUUAUCCGCAGCUUCCAGGGGAGAAUCCACUUCCAGGACCACUCAGGGGCCAGGCAAAGUCCACUGCAUUGUGAUGGUUUCCAUGUGGCCCCUCCGUGGUCACACCAUGCAUCUGGUGUCCCUGAAGGAGAGACGAAAUACUGUUUGUCAUCGUUUACUUAUUUUCUUUUCUAAUCCUUUCAUUCAGUUGAAGGGAACAUCACAAGUAUUUUAUGUAAGGUUAUUACCUCAAGGUUUCAAUAGAAACUGUUGACAAUUAGGUUGUGACCUGAAUGCAAAUUAUGGAAUUAGUGAAGAGGAGAGAAAAUGAGUGACCCUCACCCUGGCUCCAUCCCUCUGCUCCAGCAUCUCCAUUCCUUAUUGCGACUUCAGUCUCUUCAUCUCCGUGACCUUUGGGUAUCUCUAGAACCAAUUCUAGACCUCUCUAUUGCUCUCCCAUAUCCAUCCUGUGCAUUUUAGACGUCAACCCCCAUAAGACCUCUAUCCCCCGGUUCCGAGCUCUCAGCCCAACCCUCCUCCCCAACCUUUGAGCCUCCAUGUCCUCCUCCUCCCAGGCCCUGUGUCGUCCCCUCAUUCCAAUGACCUCAGCCCAUUUCUCAUGUCCUGGAUGUCUGAUGCCCUCAGUGUUCCAGUCACCAGUUACCCAGUGUCUUGACUGUCCUCACGCCCCUCACACAUUUCCCCCAACCCUGUAAUUCCUGACUCGCCAAUUUCCUCUGCAUUUUGGGGGAAUGUUUUGAGAAAAAGAGGUGUUAACUCUUCUCUAAAUGUUUAGUAGAAUUCACUUCUGAAGCCAUCUGUUCCUGGACUUUGUUGGAAUUUUUUCAAAAAAUAACCGAGUUGAUUUCAUUACUGGUUAUUCAUCUGAUUUUUUAUUUCUUUCUCAGUCUUGGGAGAGUAUACAUUUUUAGGGAUUCGUCCAUUGCUUCUAGGUUGUUCAUUUUAUUAGCAUGUAAUUAUUCAUAGUAGUCUCGUGCUUGUUGGUACCUCUGUGGUAGUACCUCUGUUGCACCUUCCCCUUUUUCACAUCUCAUUUUAUUGAAUUGGGCCCUCUCUUUUUUUUCCCCCUUGAUGAUUCUGCCUAACGAUUAAUCAAUUUUGUUUAUCUUUUCAAAGAACCAGCUCUGGAGUUCCUGUCAUGGCUCAGCAGUAAUGAACCCAACUAGCAUCCAUGAGGAUGCAGGUUGAUCCCUGGCCUCACUCAGUGGGUUAAGAAUCUGGCAUUGUCUUGAGCUGUGCCCUAGCUCACAGAUGCGGCUUGGAUCCCACGUUGCUGUGGCUGUGGUUUAGGCCAGCAGCUGCAGCUCCAGUUCGAUCCCUAGCCUGGGAAUCUCCAUAUGUCACAGGUGCGGCCCUAAAAAGACCAAAAAAAAAAAGAAAAAAAAAAAA